rnacentral:lncRNA from 1 species
AUGGGCUGUUUGCUUACAAACCCAUUUUUUCACAAAGGGUUGCAGCUGCAUCUCGGCCCUGGCAGAUGGUGGGAGCUGUGUGCUCGUUCCCCUGUCCCAGCGUCCCGGGCUGCCGUGAUGGCCAUCCCUGCCGUGAGGAGGAGCGGCAGAGAUCCCCCGCACCCCCGGGAGCCCGCGGGCAGACACCGACCCUGCUCCGGGCUGGCGGCUAUCGCUGGGGGAGGCUAUCUCGUCCAGGACUACGUUUCCCAGCGGCUCCUCCCGGGGCUGCACAUGCUCGAUGCGGCUCCCGGCUCCUCCCGGCAGCUCCCGGCGCGGCGCCCGGUGCGGCGCAGGGGCGGUCGGUGCGGUUCCCGGUUCUCGUUCCCGGUGCGGCUCCCGGUGCGGCUCCCGGUACCAUCGGCGGCGCGGCGCUGCCCGGGGCGGUUCCCGAUUCCCGGGGCGGUUCCCGGUUCCAGGGGCGGUUCCCGGUGCCACCCCCGGCGGGGCAUCCUCCCGGUGCGCCCUCGGGAGAGCACGGCCGAGCCCCGCCGCCGCCCCGGGCCCGAGCGCCCCCGGGCCCCGCGGGCCGGCAGCAUGCCCCGCGGGCGAGCCUGGACGCAGGCGGAGGUCAGCAGCCUCCUGUCGCUGGUGGGGGGCUCGGGGGAGGCCGCACUGCUCAUGGCCUCCACGUCGCGACCCAACGAGGCGCUCUGGCGGGAGAUCUCCCGGGGUCUGGCGGCGGCCGGCUACGGGCGCAGCGUGGCCCAGUGCCGCUCCAAGUGGAAGGCGCUCAAGCAGGCUUUCCACUCGGAGCGGGAGACGCGCCGGAGGGCAGGACACCACUCGCCCCGGCUGCCGCCGCACUAUCGAGCCAUGAAGAGCAUCUGGAAGGCGGCCGGACGGCCCGUCUUCGGCGAACGGAGGAUGCCAGACGUGGUGAAGCUGCCCUCCAGAAAGCGCAGGUCAGCCCUUGCCACACGCUCUCCAUCCUCAUCAGAGACACCAGAGCAGGACGUUGGCGGGGACACCCCCUGCACACUGCUGUCUCCGAUGCUGCAGCGUGCGAAGGACGAGCCAGACACUCACGCCGAUUGCUGCUUCCCUCCCCUCUCCCUCCUGGGCUGUCACACUGACCCGAAACAGGAAGGAUUUGAGGGGAAGGCCGGUUCUGUGACAGGUUUUCCUGGUGAGACGUCCCUGGGGAUGGGAAGAGGAAACCAAAUGCUGCCCCUGGCUGUUGCAGCCACAGGCUCCCAUGAGACAGCAGCCACGAGUGAGCAGCCAGCAACAGCUGAAGAUGCAUCAGACACAAGCCUGCAUGGUGGGUGCUCCCUGCAGCUUCCCAACACCCUCACAGAGAGCUCUCAGAGCCAUGGUGAGGUGCCAUUGACCCCUCUCUCACUGCAGGGUCUGGCGUGGCAGGCUUGCUCCAGAAUGUCCAGCAACUGCUGGUGCAGAUCCUGCAGACAUCACGGCGGCAGCAGGCACUGCUGGAGAGCCUGGCCAGUGACACAGUCUCCCACCUCCACCUCCUUUCCCACAGUCUCGUGCAGGUGGGCGAGACCUUGCACCAACUCCUGCUCCGGCCACAGAUCCAUCCUGGCCCCAUUGGCCACUACAUCCCCCAUAUGCCCCUUUUUGAGGGUGGCUCUGGAGUGCCCUGCUCCCCUGGUGCUCCCCACACUUCCCUGGAUCACAAAGAGGAGCCUCAGCUGUCCCCCAAUGCCAGGUGCAUCACCCCGUGAGUGCCACCAUCACUGGCCACAGGAGCAACAGCUUUGCUACACAGCCACAGCACAGAUCUUUAUAUCAGAGGUUCCAGAUAUUUUCAAAGUUUAUACUAGAGAGACAUUUUAAUAAAAUUAAAAAUAGCUUUUCUACCAGU